CCUCAUUGAUCCUGCCAGCAGCAUACGCGUGUCUCAAAGAUUAAGCCAUGCACGUGUAAGUACAAACGACUGGGUACAGUGAAACUGCAAAUGGCUCAUUAAAUCGGUUAUGGUUCCAUUGAUCGGCUCCAUCUGUUACUUGAAUAACUGUGGUAAUUCUAGAGCUAAUACAUGCCAACGAGCGCCGGACUCCCGGGAUGCGUGAUUAUGCAGACCAAGGACCAAUCCGGGCUCGCCGGCGCCUUUGGAGACUCUAGAUAACCUCAGGCCGAUCGCAUAUCCAUGUGACCGCGAUAAUGCAUUCAGAUAUCUGCCCUAUCAACUUUCGAUGGUACUUUCUGUGCCUACCAUGGUGACCACAGGUAAUGGAGAAUCAGGGUUUGAUUCUGUAGAGGGAGCCUGAGAAAUGGCUACCACAUCAAGGAAUGCAGCAGGCACCCAAAUUACCCAAUCCCGACUCCGGGAGGUAGUGACGAAAAAUAACAGUACAGGACUCUUUCGAGGCACUGUAAUUGGAAUGAGUACACUUUAAAUCCUUUAACGAGUACCCAUUGGAGGGCAAGUCUGGUGCCAGCAGCUGCGGUAAUUCCAGCUACAAUAGCAUAUAUUAAAGUUGCUGCAGUUAAAAAGCUUGUAGUUGGAUCUUGGGAUUGAGCUGGCGAUCCGCUGCGAGGCGAGCUACCACUGUCUGUACCAGCCCCUGCCUCUUGGCUCCCCUUGAUGCUCUUACUGAGUGUCCUGGUGGUCUGAAGCAUUUACUUUGAAAAAAGUACAGUGUUCAAAACACGUUGGUUGCCUGAAUACUUAAGCUAGGAGAAAUGGAAAAGGACACUGGUUCUAUUUUGCUGUUUUUCAGAACUGGCGCUGUGAUUAAGAGGGACGGCCGGGUCAUUUGUAUUGUGCUGCUAGAGG
rnacentral:rRNA from 1 species